GACAAUGUGGCCGAGUGGUUAAGGCGAGAGAUUGCUAAUCUCUUGCACUUUGUGCGCGUAGGUUCGAAUCCUAUCAUUGUCG
rnacentral:tRNA from 1 species